UGCAGUCGACGAUGAUCCGGUGCUUGCACCGGGGAUUAGUGGCGAACGGGUGAGUAACACGUGAGUAACCUGCCCUUGACUCUGGGAUAAGCCUGGGAAACUGGGUCUAAUACCGGAUAUGACUCCUCAUCGCAUGGUGGGGGGUGGAAAGCUUUUGCGGUUUUGGAUGGACUCGCGGCCUAUCAGCUUGUUGGUGAGGUAAUGGCUCACCAAGGCGACGACGGGUAGCCGGCCUGAGAGGGUGACCGGCCACACUGGGACUGAGACACGGCCCAGACUCCUACGGGAGGCAGCAGUGGGGAAUAUUGCACAAUGGGCGAAAGCCUGAUGCAGCGACGCCGCGUGAGGGAUGACGGCCUUCGGGUUGUAAACCUCUUUCAGUAGGGAA
rnacentral:rRNA from 1 species